rnacentral:rRNA from 1 species
AUGAACGGAGGCGGCGGCGGGAUCUUGUCGUAUGAGAAGCUGGAGGGGUAUGCGGUAUGGGUGGGCGCGAGCGUGGCGGCGGCCUUCUUCAUCUCCAUGGAGCGGUGCUCCUGCAUCCACCUCCACACCAUGGACGACGACGAUUGCGACGACCCCGAGGAGGCCAAGGACCGGCCCCUCAUGCUCUCACGCCCCCAGGCCCUCCCCGAGUACUACUACGACCGGACGGGGUCCUCCGCCUCGUUCGCCAAGAUGUGA